rnacentral:rRNA from 1 species
CAGGCCUAACACAUGCAAGUCGAACGAGAAAUCGGGCACUCAGGCAACUGAGUGCCGGAGAGUAAAGUGGCGCACGGGUGAGUAACACGUGGGUAACCUACCCCCGAAUCCGGGAUAACCUCGCGAAAGCGUUGCUAAUACCGGAUAUUGUCCUUUUGGUUGUGACCUUUGGGAUGAAAGGCAACCUCUUCAUGAAAGUUGUUGUUCAGGGAUGGGCCCGCGUACCAUUAGCUUGUUGGUGGGGUAACGGCUCACCAAGGCUACGAUGGUUAGCUGGUCUGAGAGGAUGAUCAGCCACACUGGAACUGAAACACGGUCCAGACUCCUACGGGAGGCAGCAGUGAGGAAUUUUGCGCAAUGGGGGAAACCCUGACGCAGCAACGCCGCGUGAGUGAAGAAGGCUUUCGGGUCGUAAAGCUCUGUCAAGUGGGAAAAAAGUCUGAUGAUUAAUAGUUGUCAGAUCUGAUGGUACCACUGGAGGAAGCACCGGCUAACUCCGUGCCAGCAGCCGCGGUAAU